GGGGGAAGCGGAGUACGUUGGACCCGGCUCCGCCCUACCCCACGGGGCCGCCUGGAGAGGUGCUGGGAGCUGGGUGGAGCUUAGAGGAAUUAAACUUUGGCCCUGCGCCUCGUCCAGCCUAGGUUCCACCCUUUUCUGGGAACAUCUUCACUUCAGGUCAGCUCCAAGGAGGCUAUCCUUGCCCAUCUUCCUAAAAUAGAGCUCUCAAAACCUGGCUGUUUUCCUUCAGAGCACUGGCCUCCAAUUGCUCCGGUAGAUUGCAAAUGACCUGCUUUCUUUCUGUUCCCGGGCGUUUGGACCCCUGUCUUGGACCGCUGUCGGAUAGUAAAUCCCAAGUAAGGUACCUGCCGUCGGCAGAUUUGAGCUUUCUUCUUGGACACCUAAUACCCAGAGUCCUCCAGGCUCCGGUAGAUUGCAAAUGACCUGCUUUCUUUCUGUUCCCGGGCGGCAUCGGACCCGUCGGAGAGUAAAUCCCAAGUAAGGUACCUGCCGUUGGCAGAUUUGAGCUUUCUUCUUGGACACCUAAUACCCACAGUCCUCCAGGCUCCGGUAGAUUGCAAAUGACCUGCUUUCUUUCUGUUCCCGGGUGGCAUCGACCCGUCGGAGAGUAAAUCCCAAGUAAGGUACCUGCCGUUGGCAGAUUUGAGCUUUCUUCUUGGACACCUAAUACCCACAGUCCUCCAGUAAAUCCCAAGCAAGGUACCUGCCGUCAGCAGAUUUGAGCUUUCUUCUUGGACACCUAAUACCCACAGUCCUCCAGGCUCCGGUAGAUUGCAAAUGACCUGCUUUCUUUCUGUUCCCGGGCUGCGUUCGGACCCCUGUCGGAUAGUAACUCCCAAGCUCCGGUAGAUUGCAAAUGACCUGCUUUCUUUCUGUUCCCGGGCUGCGUUCGGACCCCUGUCGGAGAGUAAAUCCGAAAAAAACAAACAAAGACAUGGAUUUACUGUGCAUAUUAGCAGAUCCAUACUGGAAAAUGCAUGGAGGUUUCAUAUACACCACUUACAGGUUUCCAAAGCCACAAUUUCCUUCAUAUGUUCAAACUCUUCAGGAUGCAGAAAGGCAGUGAACUCCUCCGGAGUAGCUGUCAGGUCACCAUUGAGGUCUGCAGCUUUGAAUCUUCUCUCAUCACGUGGCAGCAUCUUUUUAAAGGUGUGAUGAUCUGAAGAAUCAUGAAACUCUGCGGGGUUUCCUAGGUUUUCAGCUCCUCAGUAGUGACAAAGCCAUACCCAUCAUUGUCGAUUCGAUCAACAAUCUUCCCUAGCCUCUCCUUGCUCUCGUCCGGGGUGAGCUCGUCGAAGUUCUUGGAGUCCUCCUUGCCCAGGAAGGCCUCGUGGUCGUACUGGAAGCUCUGGUUGUCCUCAGGGGGCCGCUCGCCCAGCUCCGAGUCGGGCCGCACCACGCGCUCUUUGCGCACCGUGGGCUUGGCCCGCAGAACCCGCGGCGCCAGCACCAGCGCCAGCAGCAGCCCCAGGGCUAACCCCAGGCGGCCACCGCGCGCCAUCGUCCCGAGGAGAGGGCGGCCGGGAGGGAGACGCUGAGCGAGCGACAACAGCGGCAGCUCGGGAAUGGGGGCUCGGAGCGCGGCGGCCAAGUUUUAUGUUAUGUAUAUUUUACAAGUAAAAAAAUUUUUUCACCUCAGCCUGAACUGAACACUAGCUGACAGACGUUUUGAUUUCUUUGACCAUCACGGAAUCGUGGCCAAGCGCGGUGGCUCACAUCUGUAAUCCCAACACUUUGGGAGGUCAAGAUGGGCGGAUUGCUUGAAUCCAGGUGUUUGAGAUCAGCCUGGGCAACAUGACAAAACCCUGUUUCUAGUAAAAAUACAAAAAUUAACCAGG
ensembl:lncRNA TPT1-AS1 TPT1 antisense RNA 1